rnacentral:misc_RNA from 1 species
UGAUCUGCUGGGCCUUCAGAUUUCCGUUUUGAACAGUACCUUUGCAACGGCUUCAUCGAAAGGGAAUCAGUCGGUAAAGCCAGAGGGCGAUGGGGAGAGGGAAAUCUAGAGUGAACAGGAAGCGGUUAUAGGGAAGGUGAACUUCUGUUCCUUUACUUGUACGCUACAAAGUGCAAAGCAUCUAUCUUUUGCUUAGUUGACUCAUAACUGCCUGCCAGAAAGUGCCACCUUUGGUGGGCACAAAUUCGUAAUGACCUUUAAAUCUC